UUUUUUUUUUUUUUUUUUUUACAUGCUAUACCUAUAAAAAGAGCAGGCAUAGAGUCAUUCUUUAAAAAGGGAAAGGCAUUAAAGAGACACUAAGACCAUAUCCUACAUGGCAGUUUUGUUUCCACUCUUUCACAUCUUAGCCAUUCAUUUCUCUUAUAUGGUGAUCUACACAAUAUAGUUAUGCUGGCUCAAAAAAAAAUCCUACUAUCAUAAGAUUAUCACACAUAAACCUGAACAGGUAUUUUGCAGCACUGUCUGAAAUUCUGAAUGAGGCCAAUAGAUCUGAUAUCUAAAAUCUGCCCUUUUUUCUAAUACCUAUGCCACUGUCAAAUAUAUAAAGUGUUGCUGUCUGUAUGGAAUGAUGAUAUUUAUGCGGAAUCAUUGUUCUAACAUACUGCAAGCUUGCAAGCUUUAAGUAGCAGCUUACUCUAAAGAAGACAGUAAUGUGGAAGUUCCCUUUGUGGCUCAGGGGUAAUGAGCCCACCUAGAAUCCAUGAGGAUGUGGGUUAAAUCCCUGGCCUCACUCAGUGGGUUAAGGAUCCUGAGCUGCUAUGGCUGUGGUGUAGGCUGGCAGCUGUAGCUCCGAUUGGAUCCCUAGCUUGGGAACUUCCAUAUGCCAUGUGCGUGUCCCUGAAAAAAAGAAAAAAAGAAAAGAAAGCAUUAAUGUGACAAUUCAUUCUCAGAGAGAUGAGGGGUUGAAUUUAAGGAACUAGAAGGUUAGGAUAGACUUGUUGCAAGAGAAACCCUGGCGUGCUUCCAUGGGAUGGUGAGCAGAGAAGACACUGGAAGGGAUCUAGUUCUUUAAUAGCAAAGCACACCUCAGAGUCCUUCGCAAUCUGACUGAUUAGGCAAAAAUAGGAUAAAGAUGACUGUAAGAAACUGAGUGGAUUUAUUUUUAAAGAUUGAAAUGAAUAAUUUCAGAUAUCUACUGAGAACAUCUAUAAAAAUACCUACAGCCAACAUCAUACUUAAUGGUGAGAAACUAGAAGCUUUCCCACUAAGAUUAGGAAAAAAGCAAGGAAGUUCCAUCUCACCACCCCCUUUCAGCAUCUUGCUGUUAUUCCUAGUUAAUCUGAUAAGAUAAGGACAUAAAAGAUAGAUACAUUUGGAAGGAAGAUAUAAAACUGCCUUUCUUUGAAGAUGACAUGACUUUUUAUGCAGAAAAUCUGAAAGAACUGACAAAAAAGAAAAAUCAGCCCUUGGAACUAAUCAGCAAUUUCAGCAAGGUUGUAGGAUAUAGAGAUGAUGUAUAAAAAUCAAUCAUUUUCCUGUAGACCAUCAAUGAACAAGUGGAAUAUGAAAUUGAAAACCAAAAUCAUUUACAUUAGCACCCCCCAAAUGAAAUCCUAACAAAAUAUGUGUAGACCUAUAUGAUAAAAAUGCAUUCACUAUUUGUGGGGAUGCAAAACUGUACGACCACUUUGGAAGACCAAAUACACUCUCAUCAUGUGAUCCAGCAAGUGUGCUUCUUGGUAACUACCCAAAAGAGUAUGUCUUCACAAAAAAACAAGCACACAAGUGGAACUUCAUUCAUAACUGCUAAAAUUUGGAAAAAAACGAAGAUGUCCUUCAGUAGGUGAAUGGGUGAAUAACUUGCAUACAUCCAAGAAAUCAAAUAUUCAGUGCUAAAAGGAAAUGAGCUAUAAACCUAUGAAAAGACACAGAGCAACUUUAAAUACAUAUUACUAAGUGAGAGAAACGAACUUCAAAAAUCUGUGCAGUGUACAAUUCCAACCAUAUGACAUUCUGGAAAAGGGAAAACUAUGGAGACAAUAAAAGCAUCUGUAGUUGUUAAGGAGAGGGGAUGACUAGGCAGAGCACAGAAGAUUUUCAGGGCAAUGAAACUAUCCUGUAUGAUACUAUAAUGGUGGAUAAAUGUCGAUGUAUAUUUAUCAAAACCCACAGAAUGUAAAACAGCAAAUGUGAACCCUAAUAUAAACUAUUGACUUUGGGUGAUAAUGAUGAAGUUAGGUUCAUUGAUUAUAACAAGCAUACCACUCUGGUGUGAAGUUUUGAUUGCAGGGAGCGUCUGUGCCUAUGUGGGUGUGAGGGACAUGGGAAAACCCUGCACCUUCCUCUCAAUUUUGCUGUUUGUUAACCUAAAACUGCUCUAAAUAAUAAAUUUUUAAAAAAUGGGCAAAAGGCUUGAAUAGACAUUUCUCGAUAAAAGAUACACAAGUAGUUAAUAAACACAUGAAAAGAUGCUUAACAUCAUGAAUCACUAGUGAAAUGCAAAUCAAAACCACAAGAUACCACUUCACCUCCAGAAUAAAAACAUAGCAAAACAAAAAUGGGAAAUAAGCGUUGGCAAAGAUGUGAAGAAACUGUAACCCUUGCGCAUGGCUGGUAGAAAUGCAAACUGGUGCGUAUACUAUAGAAAAUACUUUGUUCCUGUCAUUCAUUUGGUAUAAACGGAGGAAAAAAAGAAAAAAAUAAUUUGGCAGUUCCUCAAAAAGUUCAACAUGGAAUUAGCCUAUGAUCAAGCAAUUCUACUUCUGGGUAUAUAUAUCCCAAAGAACGGAGAUCAUGGACCCAAACGGAUAAUUUUACAUAAAUAUUUCAGGAUUAUUCACAAUGUCAAAAGGUGGAAACAACCCAGAUGCCCAUCAACAGAAAAAUAAAUUUGGUAUAUACAUACAAUGGAAUAUUAUUCAGUCAUCAAAAGGAAUGAAGUUCUGAUAUAUACCACAAUAUAGAUGAACCUUGAAAACAUUCUUGCUAAAUGGAAUAAGCCAGGAACAAGAGGACAUUUAUCGUAUGGUUCUACUUACAUGAAAUAUUUAAAAUAGGCAAAUUUUUAAAAAUAGGAAGUAUAUCAGACAUUACCAGGGGAAGUUAUUGCUUAAUUGUUACAGAAUUCUAUUUAGGCUGAUUAAAAAUUUUUGGAAAAGGAUAGCAGUGAUGGUUUCACACCACUGUGAGUACUGAAAACCACUUCAUUGUACACUUAAAAUGGUUAAAGUUACAAAUUUAAUGAUAUAUAUUUCACCAAAAUAAAAAUUCAAAAAGAAAGGAAUUGUUAUUUAUAGCUAUUGGAAAAGAGAUUUCUUACCUAAGAAAUCUAAAACUACUUUUUUCCUUUCUUAAAAAGACAAUAUUAUUUGAAGAAAAGUGAGUCCUUAGAUAUGGCUCAAAGGGAAGUUUUCUGAGAACUACAGCAAAAUACUUAAAAGAUGUUUUCAAUAACUUAGGCAAAUGACAAAAUUCCAGUGCUGAAAAAUCUCCCAAAUUCUGAAGUACUUUUGACUCUAAUUUGCCUUCCCCAAUUUUCAGAACACUUAAGAGUGAAACUAAUCCUGGAGUUCCCACUGUGGCACAGCAGGUUAAGAAUCUGGCAUUGUCACUGCAAUAGUGAAAGUUGGAUCCCCCCAGCCCAGUGGAGUGGGUUAAGUAUCUGAUGUUGCUGUGGCUGCAGUUUAGGUCACAGCUGCAGCUCGGAUUCAUUCUCUGGCCCAGAAACUUCAUAUGCCAUAGGUGCAGCCCAAAAUAAAUGAAUAAAUAAUAAAUGAAUAAAAAAGAAAGAUUGAAAUUAAUCCUAAAUUAUAUGAAGUUUAUUUUUAAGUGGCUCUGAUUGUGUAUAUCAAUAAGGUUUUAUAAUCAGUACCACUGAAGAUGCUAUUUUUUAAAGCUCAUCUGAUUGAAAAAAAUUGUGAAAUUUUAAAAAUUAUUUUUAAUCCCUGCCCUAUUUAGCUGAGAGUUCACAUAUUUGAUACAAAAAUCACUUAGCAAAGCAAGCAGGAGAGAAUAAUAACCCCCCAGAGGCAACAUUAUUCACCUGAGAAAAGGUCAUUUUAAAAGUCAGUUUUGCAUCAUUUGAGAUAUUUAUAUUAUUUUCCUUUUCCAUUUCCCUCCUCUCCCAUCCCGGAAGUAGCCAGCCGUUCAUGUCCUCAGGAAGCUGUACAACGGGGUGGGGGGUGGGGGGCAAAGCCGAAAACAGCAUGCAAGUCUAUGGCUGUUGCUUUCCCGAAGUUGAAGCUCUUAGAAGAACUGAUAAUAUUUCAGGAAGAUGGAAGAGAGAGAAAGGGAUUUGCAGGCAAAGAAUGUCUAAAGAAAUAUGGAGGGAAAAGUUUGGAGAGAUUUCCCCAGGUUGAGAGAUCUGUGGGCCUAAAGAGAAGAGGGGACCCCCUUCUCCCUUCUGAAGCAGGAGUUGUGGCCCCAGCCAUCCUGGGAGGAGCUCCUCGGGGCCCAGCGUACAACCACUGGAGCUGGAGAGGAGAGGAGAGGUGGGUUCAGGGAGUGGAGGUCUCCUGCUCAUCUGCUGGACCAAAGAUGGAGGACUAGCUAUUGUCCACCAGUCCACUCCUCCUCAAGGUUUUGGCUCUCUGUGAGACCCAGAACUAUCCCUGGAGGGACAGAGGUUAGCUUUUCUACGAGUUCAGUAAAAUGGUAGCUUGGGGAUCAGGUAUUAAUCUGAGUUAUAAGAACUAAAAAGUGACUAGCACAGCUAUGUAGGUGCCCAGGGAUUUGUGCCCACCAGGAAAGCCAGCACAUACAUGCCUUACUUAAUUACAAAGCUGAGUAAUUGCUUUGGUGGUGAUUAUAAUACAUUAAAUGCUUGCAAUGUGCACAGUAUUUUUUCUCCCAUAGAAACAUGCAGCAUGUGGCAGAAAUAAUUAGAAAUGUCCUACCUGGCUUCAUGGUAGCUGUGGACUUUGUGAUCAUGAUGGCACAAUCGCUACUUAUUUCAGACUAAUGUAAGGUUUCUACUGUAAAAAUAUUUUGCUCUUUUCGCUCAUUCUAUAGAUUUUUUAUUGAGUGCUGCUGUGUAACAAGUAUUGCUCGAGGUUUGGGAAUAUCUCAUAAAUAAAACAGACAAGUACCCCACCCAAUUAGAAAGGGAGACAGAUCAUAAAGGAUAAACAUAAUAAAUAAUAAGAGAACUUAGUACAUUAGGACAAGUGCUAAGAAAUUCUGAGGUGGAUUGGGUGGAUUGUAACAUUAAAUAGGAUGGCAAGAGAGAACACACUGAGAAGAGGAAGAAAGGGUUUGAGACGUGUGAAUGUGGGGUCAUCCCCAGAGAAAAGAUGAGCAAGAAAAAUAGCCCUAUCUGGGUUUGUGCCUGGAAUAUUCAUGGAAAAGUGUGUCUCUGGAGCAGAAUGAGGUUAGGGAUAGUGUGAUCAGAAUAGUGACCCCCAACAACAUCUGUGCCCUAAUUCCUGGGAACUGUGAAUCUAUGUUACUUGGCAAAAGGGAAUUAAGGUUGCAAAUGGAAUUACGUUUGCUACGCAACUCACCUUGAAAUGGGGCAGGGACACUGGAUUAUCCAAGUGGACCCAAUGUUAUCACAAGGGUUCUUUAAAGUGGAAGGGGGCAGAGUACUA
ensembl:lncRNA